AGAAGGAACUGGCACAGCGUUUACUACCUGGAGGGAUCAGAAAUAAAGACCAAGACUCCCGUGGUGCCUUUGAACAACUGGACUGUCAACUUCCUCAAAUCAGGGACUUCACUUUUCAUCUUUAUGUAGUAAACGCUGAGAGUGUCUGACAUAUGAAGCCUGACCAUGUAAUCCAGCAGUCCCACUUCUGGGUAUGUAUCUGAAGAAAACUUAAAGCACCAUCUUGAAG